UACGGGGGGGGCAAGCGUUGUUCGGAAUUACUGGGCGUAAAGGGUUCGUAGGUGGCCUACUAAGUCAGACGUGAAAUCCCUCAGCUUAACUGGGGAACUGCGUCUGAUACUGGGGGGCUUGAGGACAGGAGAGGAACGCGGAAUUCCAGGUGUAGCGGUGAAAUGCGUAGAUAUCUGGAGGAACACCGGUGGCGAAGGCGGCGUUCUGGACUGUUUCUGACACUGAGGAACGAAAGCCAGGGGAGCAAACGGGG
rnacentral:rRNA from 1 species